UCGCGCUAGACGGGGAGCUAGCGGUGCCCUGCACCCGAAAUCCGCUUAUGCGGGGUCGAACUCCCUUUCGAGGGUCUUUGGUCCGGGAGGUGGUUCGUUUUUUGUUGAAACAGGUUUGACUUUGCGCAACAGACGGUUGUGAACCCCGUCAGGUCCGGGAGGAAGCAGCGGUAAACAAUGCGGUCUGUGUCGUGAAUGCUUCGGGCCUCCCUUUCACAUCAGCGGGCGCCUUGCGGGCCGGAUUCGAAAAAGGGUGCGCGG
rnacentral:SRP_RNA from 1 species